UACGUAGGGACCGAGCGUUGUCCGGAUUCAUUGGGCGUAAAGAGCGUGUAGGCGGCCCGAUUAGUCCGCUGUGAAAGUCCAGGGCUCAACCCUGGAAUGCCGGUGGAUACUGUCGGGCUAGAGUCCGGAAGGGGCGAGUGGAAUUCCUGGUGUAGCGGUGAAAUGCGCAGAUAUCAGGAGGAACACCAAUGGCGAAGGCAGCUCGCUGGGACGUGACUGACGCUGAGACGCGAAAGCGUGGGGAGCAAACAGG
rnacentral:rRNA from 1 species